CCUGAGCCCCGCCCCAAGUCGGGGCGCACAGACCAGUACUGAUCUGCUGGGGCCUAGGGUCCCUUAGCUGCUGUGCACCGCUCGGCUGCCACUUCUGGGCACGCCGGCUCGGACUCGGGUGGGUUCGAAGCCUCAAACACCGCCGAUGCCCCAGAAGUCUCCUGGCCAGCUCGCCCGCUCCUCCUUCUCCAGUUCCUCCUGUCCUCACCCGCCUUUCUCUCUCUUGCCAGAACUAAACAGCUUCGGAAGAGGCUCGUUGGGUCCAUCACCUCUCUGAUCCUUGCCGCCUGCUAUCAGGGUCUAACUGAGUUGCUUAGGGCCUCACUAAGUUGGUGAAGCUGGCUUUGAACUCAUGAUCCUCCUGCCUCAGCCUCCUGAGCUGCUGGAUUACAGGCAUGCUGGCACUAGCCCUCGUUUCUUGAACACUGCGCCUGGAGGGAUUAACAAACUGAGAUCAUCUUGGUUCAUACUUAGGGCAUGAUGUUUUCUGGAGCACCUGGAUGACUCAAAGCCUUGACUACAGCUCAGGUUCAGUCUUCUAAAUGCUCCACCACCUCCCAAAAGCUCCAUAGGCUGAGGACCAAGCAUUUAAUACAGAGGCCUUUGGAGGACAUCCCAUACCCAAACUAUAGCAGCCCAGCAGCUUUUCUCAGAAUGCAAGCACACACACACCGCGGCUCAGCGUCUGCUGGGUAGAUGCUGGGGAAACAGGAAAAUGACCUUUGGGAGACCUCAGCCUCUCUUCCCAGUUUACUCAGAGCUUUUGCAGACAUUGCCUCAUCUGAUCCUUAUCACAACCCUGAGAAGUGGGACUCAUUAGCUUCAUUUUACAGAUGUGGAAGCAGAGGCCAAUAGAGGUUAUGUGACUUCACCAGAAUAAAACACGGUGAGAAAGAACUCAGACCUAGUGUUGCCAGAAGCUUAGUCCUUGGCCCUGAUGCCAAUCCAAUAAUGAGGACACGGUUUUGAGAAAAAGGAAAAAGAACAUUUAUUACUUUGCCUCUGUCCUAGAGGCUGUGAUUCUGCCCAUUAGUAGGAACAGGGGGCUUUUAAAGAGGUGACUCAGAGGGUUCAUUCCACCUGUUCUCUGCUGGAGUUGUAAUUCACUUGUGAACUUGGGAGGCAGUUAUUUCUGAGAUCUUCUGGUGACAUCCCCAAAGUCUGGAUGACUUCCUUCCUUUGGUGGGUGUGUACUCGGGGACAGAUAACUCUGCCUAGGAUACAGAAGAAAGUUAAUCCUGUUUCUCCUGAGAUUAGGGAGGAGAGAGAUUAGGUAGGAGCAGGGGGAGAGGAAAAGAAAGAAACUUGUCCAUUUUAAAAAUAAGUUGCAGGGCUGUAUGAUGCCUGGCAUAGAAUUAUUGUUGAACAUUCAGUGAAUGAAUAUUCUAGGUCUAAUCAAAGAUAGAUGCACUGGCCCUUGACUCCAGCGAACUAGUGGAGUCUACUCAACAGUAGAGUGCUUGCCUCGCAUUGUGAGGCCCUGGGUUCGAUCCUCAGCACCAAGUAAAAAUAAAUAAAAUAAAGGUAUUGUGUCCAACUACAAUUAAAAAAAAAAAUAAGUUGCAGUGGCAGAGCAGCAAGGGCUAUAGUCAAAGCAUAAAGUGGGUCACUGUUAUACAAGCCUCAAAGGUCCCCACAUCCAGGAUCCUUUUUGCUUUAUCAUUUUUUAGGAAAGAUAUGAUUAGCAAAUGUGAAAGAGAGCACAAGACGACAUGUAGGUUCACUGCUAAGUGGGGUAUCAGUAGUUACAAUGAUAAUAAUUAUUAACACACUUCCUGUGUGUUAGGUUCCUUUGUGUUAAGUUCUGUUCCAAGCAUUCCAAGCACUUGA